UACGGAGGGUGCAAGCAUUAAUCGGAUUUAUUGGGCGUAAAGGGCGCGUAGGCGGCUCUUUAAGUCAAAGGUGAAAUCCCUCGGCUCAACUGAGGAACUGCCUUUGAAACUGAGGAGCUUGAGUCCGAGAGGGGGUAGCGGAAUUCCCAGUGUAGCGGUGAAAUGCGUAGAUAUUGGGAGGAACACCAGUGGCGAAGGCGGCUACCUGGACCGGAACUGACGCUGAUGCGCGAAAGCGUGGGGAGCAAACAGG
rnacentral:rRNA from 1 species